rnacentral:rRNA from 1 species
GACGAACGCUGGCGGCGUGCCUAAUACAUGCAAGUAGAACGCACAGUUUAUACCGUAGCUUGCUACACCAUAGACUGUGAGUUGAGAACGGGUGAGUAACGCGUAGGUAACCUGCCUGGUAGCGGGGGAUAACUAAUGGAAACGAUAGCUAAUACCGCAUAAUAUUGAUUAUUGCAUGAUAAUUAAUUGAAAGGUGCAAUUGCACCACUACCAGAUGGACCUACGUUGUAUUAGCUAGGAGGUGAGGUAACGGGUAACCUAGGGGACGAUACAUAGACGACCUCAAAGGGUGAUCGGCCACACUGGGACGGGAACAUGACCCAGAACCCUGCGAGUGGCAGCAGUAGCGAAUCUUUGGCAAUGGCCGAAAGUCUGACCGUUGAACGCCGGGUGAGUGAAGGAUGCUUUCAGGUCGUAAAGGUCAGUAAUAAGUUAGGAUCGGGUGUCAGUGUUGAACGUUCAGAUUGUGACGGUACCUUAACAGAAAGCGACGGCUAACUACGUG